CUUCCGUAGGUGAACCUGCGGAAGGAUCAUUACUGAAUAACUAAAUCUUUAGUUUUUCAUACCCCAUUGUUGACUUACCCAUGUUGCUUCCACGUGGACAGGCGUUCAUUCUGCCCUCUGGCUUGUUGUGCUUACCCCACACUUGACAGGGAGUUGCCCGUGGUAAGACCCCAAUAUUACACUUGUUAUAUAUACUAUAAUGUCUGAAUAAAUCAUUUCAAAUGAAAUAAAACUUUCAACAACGGAUCUCUAGGCUCUUGCAUCGAUGAAGAACGCAGUGAAAUGCGAUAAGUAAUGUGAAUUGCAGAAUCUCGUGAAUCAUCGAAUCUUUGAACGCACAUUGCGCCCUAUGGUAUUCCGUAGGGCAUGCCUGUCUGAGCGUCAGCUCCCCCCAACUCAAACUUUUGUUAGUUUGGAUUACUUUGAAGGUGUAGCUUGUCAAAGCUGCUUUUCAGAAAUUCAUAGGCAGUAUGGUUAUUCCUAGACCAGACGUAAUAAUAAUAAAACCGUCUUUUUGGGAAAGAAUUGUGCUUGCCUCAACCCACCCAUUAUCUUUUUACUUGGGUGACCUCAGAUCA
rnacentral:rRNA from 1 species